rnacentral:sRNA from 1 species
UAUAUGCAAGAAAUGUGGAUAUCCAAAACCAAAUGGUAUGUGGAACCAAAUUUGAUAAUAAAAAAGAGGGUAUAUGCACUAGAUGACCAUGAAAUUCAUAAUAUUAUAGAAACUAACCAUGGACGUAUAGUACCUGUCGGAAACCAACUUUAAAUUACUCUCAUAUCCUUAUAAUAGGGUUUUGGUUGAGGGGACAAAUAACUUUAUAGGCAAAUAGCUUUACUACUAAAGCUUUCAUAACCUCCUCUUCCCUUACAACAAUAACCACCACUAGAUCUGUAACACCACCGCCUCCUCCGUAUUUAGUAUUACUAGAUCUGUAAACACUACCGCCUCCGUAUUCACCACCAUCAUAUCCAUAACACCACCGCCUCUUCCGUAUUCAUCACCAUCGCCGUUUACUUUUGUUGACAUGUAUUUUUAUUUUAAAACAUUGUAU